rnacentral:lncRNA from 1 species
AUUUCUCAAGGUCUGAACCCUACACCAUGGAUGGAAGUUAAGUCUGGAUUGGCAAACACAAAUCAUGUUCCAAGUUCUGCCUUCCACCUGAGUGAAAUACAUCACCGCUUUCCCUGCUCCCGCCGCCAUUAAAAUUGUGUUUGGCAUCUGACCACCAAGAUACAGAUAUUUCCUAGACUGUUUUGCAGCUAGGUACUUAGAUAGUAAUGAAGAUAGGGGCCACCAUUCCCUGUGAAAAUCAAGUGGGAAAGUCCUGAGUCCUUUAAUGACUUUACAGAGGACAGAAUAAACUCCUAUCAUAUUCAUGCAAUUGUGCCUAUGGGUCUCCUGUCUUGUUGUUAGAAUGGAUUUAUUUGAACACUAACGAAUAUUGAUAAGUAUAAAAGAAAAAUAAAAUAUAGUCUUUGGCCUAAAGGAUACUCUAAUCUGAUGAACCAGCCAAAAAAAU